GAUGAACGCUAGCGGCAGGCCUAAUACAUGCAAGUCGAACGGGAUCCAGAUCAAAGCUUGCUUUGGUCUGGUGAGAGUGGCGCACGGGUGCGUAACGCGUGAGCAACCUACCCUUGUCAGGGGGAUAGCCCGGCGAAAGUCGGAUUAAUACCGCAUGACAUCAUUGAGAGGCAUCUUUCGAUGAUCAACGAUUUAUCGGUCAAGGAUGGGCUCGCGUGACAUUAGCUAGUUGGUAAGGUAACGGCUUACCAAGGCUGCGAUGUCUAGGGGAUCUGAGAGGAGAAUCCCCCACACUGGUACUGAGACACGGACCAGACUCCUACGGGAGGCAGCAGUAAGGAAUAUUGGUCAAUGGACGGAAGUCUGAACCAGCCAUGCCGCGGACAGGAAGACGGCCCUAUGGGUUGUAAACUGCUUUUAUACGGGAACAAACGUCGGUACGUGUACCGGUCUGAGUGUACCGUAAGAAUAAGGAUCGGCUAACUCCGUG
rnacentral:rRNA from 1 species